UACGUAGGUGGCAAGCGUUGUCCGGAUUUACUGGGCGUAAAGCGCCCGCAGGCGGCUUGUUAAGUUCAAGGUGAAAUCUCCCGGCUUAACUGGGAGGGUGCCUCGAAAACUGGCAGGCUUGAGGUGAGGAGAGGGAUGCGGAAUUCCAGGUGUGGCAGUGAAAUGCGUAGAGAUCGGGAGGAACAGCCGUGGCGAAGGCGGCCAUCUGGACCAGCACUGACACUGAGGCACGAAAGCGUGGGGAGCAAACAGG
rnacentral:rRNA from 1 species